UUAGAUAGAGUACUGUAGAGGAAGGCGGAAUUCCUGGAGUAGCGGUGGAAUGCGCAGAUAUCAGGAAGAACACCGAAAGCGAAGGCAGCCUUCUGGGCAGUAACUGACGCUGAAUAGCGAAGGUGUGGGUAGCAAACAGGCUUAGAUACCCUGGUAGUCCACACAGUAAACGAUGAUCACUAGGUGUUGGUGCCGAUAAAACGGCUUCAGUACCGCAGCUAACGCAUUAAGUGAUCCGCCUGGGGAGUACGACCGCAAGGUUGAAACUCAAAGGAAUUGACGGGGACCCGCACAAGCGGUGGAGCAUGUUGUUCAAUUCGAUGCAACGCGAAGAACCUUACCUGGACUUGACAUUGAUGGAAUCCUCUAUAAAUAGAGGAGUGUCCCUUCGGGGACCCUGAAAACAGGUGCUGCAUGGCUGUCGUCAGCUCGUGUUGUGAAAUGUUGGGUUAAGUCCCGCAACGAGCGCAACCCCUACCCUUAGUUACCAAUAUUAAGUUAGGGACUCUAAGGGGACUGCCAAGGUGACAACUUGGAGGAAGGUGGGGACGACGUCAAGUCAUCAUGGUCCUUAUGUCCAGGGCUACAAACGUGCUACAAUGGUCGGCACAAAGGGCUGCGAAGCAGUGAUGUGGUGCAAAUCCCAAAAAACCGGCCUCAGUUCGGAUUGGAGUCUGCAACUCGACUCCAUGAAGUUGGAAUCGCUAGUAAUCGCG
rnacentral:rRNA from 1 species